AUGAGAGUUUGCAUCCACUUAGUUUUCAUUGUAGCAGCCCUGGAAGGUGUCCGGUCCCAGGUGCUGGUGGAGUCCGGUGGGGAUGUGAAAAAGCCCGGAGACUCUCUCCGCCUCUCCUGCAAAGCCUCCGGGUUCCCCUUCAGCAGUUAUCUCAUGGAUUGGCUCUGUCUGGCCCCCGGGAAGGGGCUGGAGUGGCUGGCCAGAGCUGCUGGCCAGGGCAGCACCUACUACGCUGAUUCCGUGCAAGGGCGAUUCGCCAUCUCCAGAGACAAUGCCAACAGCCUGGUGCAUUUGCAAAUCAGCAGCCUGAGAGCGGAGGACACCUCCCUGUAUUACUGGGUCAGAGACACACAACCAGGGACCUAGGACAAAAACCGAGCGCUGUAGCCACGCUCUGGAGUUUGCUGG